CCUGGUGGCUUAGAGGGUAAAGUGUUUGCCUGCAAUGCAAAAGACCCGGGUUCGAGCUCUGCAUCUGGA
rnacentral:tRNA from 1 species